CCGGGCAUCUAGUUAUUUUAUAACGAAAUACCACAAAACGCGGAUGAGGAUAUAUGGACGACCGGGUCUAAAGUAAGUUUUCAUCUGGAGGGUGAGGUCGAAAAAUUGGACAAAAACGGUGAACUCAAAGAAACCAGCGACUAAUGAGAUGCAGAUUAUUAGAGUUAUAUACGUGUACGAGCGAUUACACCUAUAGGUAUACAUAAUAUGUAGGAGAGUUGUGAAUUUUUUUUUCUUUUCUUUCUAAUUCGCUAUGUCAUACGUCGCGAAGCCUCAGCGGGUCGUUACUUAAGCUGAAAUUAAUUCCGUACUCUCUUUCAGCGAGACGUUAUCGAGCGAAUUGGGUUAUGCGAAUGGCGGUGAUUCGCCAAUUUAGUUCUGAAUAUAUUUGCAGUUUUGGGUUGCGG
rnacentral:misc_RNA from 1 species